GUCUUUUUGAAAAUAAUUUAAAGUCUAACCUGCCCACUGAAUAUUAAAUGGCCGCAGUAUUUUGACUGUGCAAAGGUAGCAUAAUCAUUAGUUUUUUAAUUAAGAACUGGAAUGAAAGGUCGAACGAGAGAAUAACUGUCUCUUUAUAAAUUAUUUAGAAUUUUAUAUUUAAGUUAGAAAGCUUAAAUAAAAUUAAAAGACGAGAAGACCCUAUAGAGUUUAAUAUAGCUUUUAUUAAUUAUAUUAUAUAGAAUUAUUAAAUUAUUUUUUUAGGUUAUAUUUAAUUGGGGUGAUUAAAAAAUUUCUUUAACUUUUUUUUUAUAAAGUCAUUAAUUUAUGAUUUAUUGAUCCAAUUUUAUUGAUUAUAAGAUUAAAUUACCUUAGGGAUAACAGCGUUAUUUCUUUUAAGAGUUCUAAUCGAUAAAGAAGUUUGCGACCUCGAUGUUGGAUUAAAAUUAAAUUUUGGUGUAGAAGCUAAAAGGUUAGGUCUGUUCGACCUUUAAAAUUUUACAUGAUCUGAGUUUAAACCGGUGUGAGCCAGGUUGGUUUCUAUCUUUAAUAUAGUUUAAUAUUUUAGUACGAAAGGACCAAAUAUUAAUAAAAUUUAUUUUUGAAUUGAUUAUUAUUAAUUAAAAA
rnacentral:rRNA from 1 species